rnacentral:lncRNA from 1 species
UUUCUUUAUUUCCUGGACUGCGUCCCAAAUUUCAGAAAGAUCAGGGGCUAAGCUAUAAAUGUUUUUCUAGACUCAGUGAGCAUACAGAGUGGACGGCGGGUUAAACACAAAAGACGUCUUAGUUGAAGUUGUACACAAUUCAACAUGAGUCAUGUUGGCUAGAGGGUGGAAGGCUAGGUAUUCUGCUCAAUAGAUCCAAGGUUCGAUUCCUAAGUAGCCACUGUUUAAUUUUUUUUUCUGCGCGCGCAACGAGGGAGGGCAGAACGGCAGACUACUAUUGCUUACUUAAUAAGUAGUAGAGAUAUAAAUUUGUAAGUAUCCCCUUAAAUAUUUACUAGGUAGGUGCCCGUGCGUUGCGACGGUAGUAAAAAAAUUUAUAUGAAACAUAGAAACGGAACGACAAACAUCAGUAUGAUAUGCAAAAUUUGUACCUUGGAACAUUAGCAGGGCAGAGGAGCACGUCGGGGCUUCGACCACGGCGUCGUGACGACAAGGGAGAAGAUCACGACGCGAGCGAACUUGACGUGGAGCAGCGUACGAAGGAGAAGCGACACUCGACACAGCUUCAGACGUCAGGCGCACAUGGCUCGACCACGCAACAGUUAGUGAUGAUGACAAACUUGGACGAUUGCAACGGCUUUCCAGCAUCGCGAACAGAGGGUGCACAUGAACAACGAGCUCGGCGAGACUUUCGGCGUCGCGAAUGGAGGGUGUACGUCGAGCUGGCAGCAAGUAACAUGCGAUGCAAAAAGGAGAAGCGAGCAGGGGAUAUGGCUUGGUUGAGGUGGGGGAAGAAGACCGUGAUCUUGCAUUUUAUACAGCAGAGAGAGGCGAGGGCGUCGAGAAAAGAGAUCGCUGCUGCCAUUAAUGGCGUGCAAGAGAAGAAAAAGUCUGAUGAUCGUGGAAACAAAUAUUGGAAAGAUAAAAGGAAUUCACGUACAAGGGAAGUAGAUCUAAAGAGGGGGAGACUUUUUGCAUCAAAUUCAGCAGUAUAAAAAUAAGUAAAAGAAACUAAAAUGCCUACUUGAAACUUGGAACAAUUUAAUGCAAAAACGAUAGCUCAUAUUUUCCAUCUGCUACAUACACUCCUAGAUUGACCUGAAGAGUCAACCUGUCAGAAAUAUAGUAUCAGUAAUUCAUUACCAAGAUGCCAGGAUCACAAUAGUUCUCAAAUAUGCCUUUUUGUGCCGACGUCGAGGAAGUAUCUGCUGCCACCACCAGCCCAGACCCAUUCCCUUUCGAACAGGUGGAUGGCAAGGUGGAUGGGGAGGGCACCAGCCCUGGGUUAGAGAGAAGAAGGCGCAAAGGUGGAGGGCGUGCGUGGAGCGGCCGUCCUCCUGGAGUGGCUGAGCGCGGAACAUGACGCUGACGUACGAUGGCGCCAUGGCUGCUAGUUGGCACCACCAGAUCUUCCACCUUAGGCUUGGCCCUGGCGUUGUCGAUUGAGCCCUCGAUGUGGCCGUGCAGGCGGAGGCGCUUCAUGCCGAAAUCCGCCCAUGGACCAGGGUGCCUCACACGCUUACUCAAGGAGUGGGUCGGUGACGAAAGCCGGCGCGUGGGGACGGGUGUGGAGGCGGGCAUAGAUGGGAGGUGGUCGUCGACUGCUGCGAGUAUUUGGGGCGAGGAUGGCUCUCGGCUUGCACCGCGCGUGGUGACGGCGUUGAAGGCGGCCUGGGGAAGGGCGCUAAUGGCUCGGCCUGCGUCGCGUGUGGGGACGGGUGUGGAGGCAGGCGUAGAUGGGAGGCGCGGCGUCGACUGCGGCGAGGAUUCGGGGCGAGGAUGGCUCCAUCAGCGUUGAAGCCGGCUGGGGAAGGGCGUUGAUGGCUCCGCUGCGCCGCGCGUGGGGACAGGUGUGGAGGCGGGGGCUCGGGCGCAGUCGGUGGUGCCGCGCGAUGGCGGCGGACUGGCGAGGGCGGGGACAUGGUGACGUCGGGUGGACGCCCUCGUUGCAUACAUAUGGUGCAGUAGAGAUAACAGACCAAGAGUCAUGCAAAUAUGUUUGCACCUAAUGACUAUUUGCAUAAUAGUCGUUGUCCAAAUAAUAUUAAACAUAAAGAUUCAAAGUAAACUAAUAGGCAACAAUGCCUACAUCUUAUUCUUACAUGCAGGUCUACCAAAAAAUCAUUGGAACAGUUCCUAGUGGUUUCAUAACAUCCUAAAAUAAAAUAAGUUGGCUAACUGAUAGUAGCUCACAACAUAUAAUCAGUAAAAGGGGGCAUCUGUUAGGGUGGGUAUCAAUGUUGGAACAUACUGGACUUGCAAACUGCAAGGGUUAACAAUCCCAAUAGCAGACAUUGAAUAUGAUUUUUCUGAUAAAAGCAGGCAGGUCAGCUAUUGCAAAGAACAUUCAAAGAUGACAAACCAUACUAUAAUUGAGUGCACUGCAGGUAUAGGUUCUCUAUUUUCAUUACAACUGAUCUAGAGAACAAAAAGGAAUCGACAAAACCAAUAGCACAUAUCAACAAUACCAACUGCAUCAUUCUUACAAAUAGAAAGAUCAUGAGGCCUACAGGAAACAACUAUAUAUUUUCCACUUACUGAUUUAUAUAACCCACGGUAAGAAAUAUAUCCAAAUGAACAGACCAUAUGCAAACAUCCUACAUUCCUACCAUACAUGGCAUCAUGCAUAAAUCAUGCGGUAAUGCAUAUAACAUACAAAUAUUGCAGAACUCAUUGACAAGAAUCAGGUCAGUAUAAACUCAGCACUUUUGUCAUCAGCAGACAAAAUAGCACAAUAAAAAAUGCACAUCUAGAGAGCAGAGCGUUACUGAUCUGCAGUCAAAAACUCAAACACAAGAUUUUGCUAUUAUGAAGUUGUGUCAGGAACUGAAAUAAUAGUAAUUUGAAUUAUAUUUUCUGUUUAUUAUCAACAAGAUCAAUACAAUUGAAUAAUAGAUAAGGUGGUAGCUGUUGCACAUGAUUAUUAGCAAGUGAAGUACAAGGUAGUGAGCAUAAUGUCCCACUGUUUAUGAACAGCUAAUUCCCAAAUCAAAUGAGCUUCAACCACUCAAAGAACACCCCAAGUUGUCAACUAUGUCAUUCUUCUUCAUUUAUAUUGUUUGUAACCCAAAGAAGAAAAUAGAUCAUUCAUGGCUCCAUCAAGUAGAAAGAUAAUGACAUAUAAUGGGAGAGAACAAUAUAUUAUACAGUUAUCACUUCAUAUGUUCCACAGAGAAUAGAAUAAAUGUACCCAAAUAAACAGGCCAUUUGCAAGCAUUGUAAUGUGAAUGUAUACCAUGCAAUAAACAUAUUUACUGUAUACAAAGGAAAACAAAACUUUCUUAUUGACAACAAAUAGAAGUACCGAAAUUACAGAUAUCUAUAGUACUAAAGUAGUGGAGAGUAGUGCUCCAGUGUCAAAAGCAUAAUAGACCGAACCAACCAAAUAAAAAUCAAGCUGGUAGAUCCUUGCCCGGUUACAGACCAGCAGCGGGCAGCGCAGCCAAGAAGGCACUGUAUGCCGAAUCGAGGUCGAAGUUGAGCUGCCUGGCCUGCUGCUCGGUGAGCUCAUCUGCGACCCUGGGUUAGACCAUGGAAGUCUGACCAGCCCAGACCCAUUCCCUUUCGAACAGGUGGAUGGCAAGGUGGAUGGGGAGGGCACCAGCCCUGGGUUAGAGAGAAGAAGGCGCAACGGUGGAGGGCGUGCGUGGAGCGGUCGUCCUCCUGGAGUGGCUGAGCGCGGAACAUGACGCUAGCGUACGAUGGCACCAUAGCUGCUAGUUGGCACCACCAGAUCUUCCACCUUAGGCUUGGCCCUGGCGUCGUCGAUUGAGCCCUCGAUGUGGCCAUGCAGGCGGAGGCGCUUCACGCCGAAAUCCGCCCGUAGGAGCUUCACCCACAGUCACUCGCGGCUAGCUGCUGCACAAGAAACAUCAUGUACUACAAUCAGGCAAGGUAUCACUAUAUCACUGCCAUACUUACAAGGUUCGACUAUUCAACUGGGCCAUGUACUUAAAUUACUACCUAGCUACUCCUAACAAAGAGGGAUGAUGUACGAGCAUUUCUAUAACCCCAAAUUAAUAGGAUUGGGAAAAAAUGGACAUAUAUGUUGCCUGCCUAAUGAUUUGUAAAUUAAAACAAUGAGAAUGUGAAGAUAUAAACAUGUUAAUCGCUUAAAAUCUGUUUAUAAAACAGAUCAUAAGCUACACAUUGAAUAGAAUUAGCAGCAAAGCACAAUACUGAAACAAGGACAAGUGCAUGCUGAACUCUCUGAACUUACUGGGAAGUUCAGUUUGCAGUCUGAUUCCCUGUACUUGAGCGCUGCAAGAUCAUAGGUGUGGGCUGCUGCCUCCUCAGUCCUCACCAUCAAAAGCUCCUGAAAAGAAAGAAGAUUACAACCUAUUCGCUUGACUUUAAUAUGUACUGGCUUCUACUACAGUGUUUUUGUCUCAAACAACUGGCUUUAAUCCGAAGCGAACAACACAAAGGAUUUUAACUCAAAUAUUCGUAUGUCCUUGCAUUUGUAAAGGUAAUACCAUCUAUGCAACUGUCUGUUUGUUUUGUGCAAAUAAAGCUUCUUUGGAAUAUGACACCUGUAAGUUGAGGCUCUCAUUAGAAAAUAGGCAAUCUUCAUAAUCACCUAUGGUAAUAUGCGACAUCAAAUCUGGUGGCCAAACCUCAAUCGUGAAAACUGCUGGUUCAAUAGAUCCUGGUAUGGUUUCUUGAUGGAUGGAUGGAUUGUCCAACACAUACAACUGUUGUUUAACAGUUUUGGAUUUGUGACAUGGCUGACAGUUCUUCAGUUUCACAGCUGCAAGAUUGGUUGAUUAUGUAGAGGCUCUUGUAAGGCGAAGAGAAACUGAUUAUAAUGUAUGAUCACGUGGCAAAUUCAAUGAUUCACGCAAAUUAGGCUAAAAUAAAUUACAUUAGAAUCAAGGUAUGCCAAUUCAAGAGUAGUAUGGGUAAAGCACUGGUGACGCAAAGAUGCUAAUAAAUAUACUGAAACCAGGCAGUCAAGUACGAUACAAGCAGUCAAAACUUCAAGUGAUUCACAAAAUUAUCUUCACAAAUUGAUAGAGUUCUCUUUCAUGUCCGUGGAACCAGGGCAGACCCAACUAAGCUCUGCACGAGAAAAAAAACUAUUGGCUUUAUUCACCUUUAUCUAGUCCUUUCAUUCACCUCUUUCUAGUAACAUGUUCGAUCCUUUAGAACUGUUGAAGAUACAUUGGGUUACACCUACAAACUGAACCCAAAUGAAUGUUACACUAAGGCCAGAUUUUAAAUAUAUCCUUUUAUUUCUUGUAUGAAGUAAACAAUACAUACCUUAUCGACUCUUAUGAGAGUUGUCAACAAGAGAGCAUCUGCUCUGUAAGUUGAUUGCUGCAUAAAAAGAGCUACCUACUUAGAAUUCCAUCACAGUUGUCCAGAGCCUCAUAAAGGUUUGUGACAGUCUAAAAAUUUCAGAAUAAAAUAGAAGAACUGGUCAAAAACCGUAGAUUGUUGUUCUAAAUCGUCGGUCGCUGCCACCACCAUUACACCAUUAGCAAGCAGGUGGAUAGGAAGGAGUUGUGUUUACCUUUAGGACCUGCUGUCGGGUCUUGUCUGUUUUUGGGAGGCGAGGGCUAAAGGGAGCAGGAAGACGCCCAACAGAGGAGGGAAGCGGGGAUGAGGAAUAGAAGAAGAAAUAGAGGUAGUAGAUACACCAGGCAAGCCAAGGGAAUGAAGGAAGAAAGGCUAGGCCAGGAGGUGGCGCGUGCGGUUAAGCAAAAAGGAGGCCUCUGGUGGCCAGCCAGCCCGCUCCCUCUCAAGAUUCGAUGCAUGCUAAUUAAAUAUCUCCUUCAGUCUUCAGAACACGAAAUCAUCAUAUCAGCAAGAGAACAAGGUGGUAUCAUAAUAAACUGAAAACAAACACCACAAAAGGACUAACUAAAACCUCACUUGAUCCUGGCCUUCAGGAAGGGGAUCAACCACCAGGGUGGGUAUCUCAUCGUCAAUCCAUCAUGCUUUCCCGAGUGAAGCGUCAUCAUCAAUCCAUUAGUACAAGGAUCGCUAAUUUGCCUCUCCGUGACAUUACUAUCAGUUGUCACAUGGUCUGAGUUCACACUCCAGUGAGCUAGAAUAGGUUCUGGUAAUGCUGAGCAUGUUUUAGAUGUAGGUCUACCAUUCUGACUGAUUUCAUUUUCAUGAGUAGCAACUUGAUUUAUCUCAGUUGUUUUCCUUUCUGAAAUAAACCUAAAUAUAUCAGUGAGAACAUAAUAGCCACCACUUUCUUAUGGUGCUAGGAAGAAUGAACAGGUAAACCUACAGAAAACGCUUUCAUCCAAAGUCAAGGAUCUAGUAACAAUAAUGAGCACUCCAUCAUUGUGAGAUAAUUGUGCAUUUGCAGUCUCUAUAACUAUUAAGCAGUUCCUGGAGUCCAUAGACAUGAUUUUUUCAUUAAUAUCCUAUACAGAAAAAGGUGGUUCCAAGAGUUAUCUCAACUUCAGAUAACACGUCUAACAAACUCUACAGACUGAAGAUUUUACCUAUCGUUUUCUUUAAAUAAAAUAAAUAAAUUUUAUUUAAACGAACGAAGGAAAGGCACAUUCAGUUUACCAAUCAGUGAUUAGAGUUGUUCCCUGGAUUAGCAAGAAAGAGAAAACUUGCACAAUUUAACCACAAACACACAGUACUAUGUUAGAUCAGUACCCCUGUUAAAGAAUUUUAUCCUACCACAUGUUCACUUCCAGUUUUCUUACAUAUGUAUGUUUUCAGUGUUCAUAAAGAAUUUGAACCGAGUAUAUGAUUCAACACACUACUUCAAAGCAUGAUUAACCAAUACAGAACAAGUUUGGAUUACAGAACAAUUUCUCCAACUCACCGUCGUCGAAGCGAUUGAAGAGAACGGUGAUCGUCACAAGCAGCGAACAAGGCACGAUGCGCCGAUGAUGAUGGUGGAUGGGGUGUCGGCUUGGAGGGGAACUUUAAAAAGAGCUGCUCUACAAACUGAAAAAGAACAAGAACAAUUAUUAAAUACAAAAAGAGCUAUUAUAUAAAUAACAAUGCAUCAUAUGAAGCAACCACAUUGUGACUAAACAAAAGUAUUUGUUCAUUUCUGAAUUCCAAAUCAGAGUAUUCAAGUUAAAUCAGACUACCACAUGCCUACGACUGGUAUAUUACUACACUCACGAAUCCAAUUUGGUUAGACAACUGAGAUUCACAACUAAAAAAACACAGACAUCCAAAGGUAUUCAUAUCAAAUAGAUUUCAAGGAAAACUAAAUAAAUAUUACCAAAACUCCAUUGCCAUAGCCUUACCAAAACUCUUUAGACCAUUUAAUAAUAUGAUAUAUUAGUCACACUCUCACAUGGAUUUUAUUCACGUGCUCCAUAAACAGGUAUAUAUAUUGAUUAUAGGACUAUCUGAACUCAAAACAAAUGUGAAAAACUUAGCUCAGAACAGAUGAAAAACACCACCAUUCAACACACAAAAGGGAAAAGUGUUGAACAUAAUAACCCUUUACAAGAUCAUCAGGUGCAGUGUGAACAACAACAGCUCUACCAAUGAUUGAGUUUGGCCCAGUCAGUGGGGUCUAAAAAAUCAUUAGCGGUGUUAUUACCUGGAUGUCAGUGAAUUAAUAUUAGCAACACCUGACAGCAAAGAAACAAACUCAGUGACAAGAUAGUACAUGUUGAAGUACCUCUGUAAUCCAUUUCACCUGUUUGAAUCAUAUGCAAAAUCAAAUGAUGCCAUUUUACUCAUCUAUUUGAAUUUUUUUAACAGGGAAUUAUACUGUUGGAAUUAAAGCAAAUUUAAACCCCAAACUUGAACGGAGCAUCUGCUUUUUGAACAUAUGAACGAACACACUACUUGAAAGAAUGAUCAAACCAGAAUUGUAAGAAAAAAAUAAAUCCUAUUACAGACCGAGUAUGGAUUACAAAGGUCUAAAGAAUGAACAUAGACAUUAUGAAAACGGAUGUUCCGUAUACACUAUGAAAAACUGCAGUGAACAUAGACAUUAUGAAAAACUGGUACUCUGAAGCUGCAGCGAACCAAACCUUGUCAACUAAAAGCAUAUGUUCUGUAUACACUCCAGAUUAGAUGUUUGAACACAGUACUUCAAUCAAAACAGAUGUCACUAUCACUGCUCGUGCUGCUAAUUCAUUGCAUGAUGAAUCUUUGAAGCUUUUCUUAUUUGACAAUCUUUUCUGAAAUAAUCAUUACUUCAGGUCCAGUUGUUUUUUCGAGCUUCUACUGCUGCUUGAAGUUUUUAACAUGAUUUUUCCUAGAAGAUUCUGUCAUCAAUAGCCAUUUGUUUGUUGGGAAAGAGAGGCAUAAUAAUUAUUUUACCUCUUUAUACAAAAAUGCACAUGUCAUAUCCUGUUUGGUGUGUGAGAUAAUGAAAAAGAACUAAUUCAUAGUAAUCUGUAAGCUUGAUUGCGAACAAAAAUAAUAUGGUUGAAUGUGAACAUACAAGAAUAAUUUACACAUUUCUGUAUUUUGCCAGAUUUCAGAUGUACUUAGUGAGGCUGGUGCACCAUGUGGGAUAAAAUCAGUCUGUCUUUAUGGUGGAACUAAAAAGGAACCCCAAAUAUCUGCCCUUAAAUCUGGAGUGGUAAGAUAACUGAUUUCAUUUUUCUUUUCCCACCCACAGUUCAUAUAAUUGUACUGAAUAUUGAAUAUUGAUUAAGUUAUGAACUUUUGAUAUCGUUGCAUACCAAACCAUUACCAUACCACUUCUUUUUUCACGGAUUUCACUUAAUGGAAACUCAAUGUUUCUUUACUAUAUAGGACAUGUAAUGUAACUGUGUCCCCAGUCAGUCUUUGACAGUUAAUUUGUGUAAAAACAUACUGUUGGCUGACCCUGUAUUCAUUUUUUGGGGUUUGUGGUUGCAGGAUAUAGUCAUAGGAACUCCUGGUCGUAUGAAAGACCUUAUUGAAAUGGGUGUUUGCUGUCUUAAUGAGGUUUCGUUUGUGGUAAGCCAGUUGUGCCUUUUUUUUUGCUAUUCUUGUUGUCUAUGAAGUGUGGUGUGCAUGGUAUAUAUAUUCUAUCCAGCCACAAAUAUGAAGUGCUCUGAACAGCAACAGGGUCACCAAGUUCUAACUUUGAUCUCUAAUUCACCAGCCCUUCGUUCUUUUUUAUUUGAUAUUCUAAUUUUGAGCAAGUCAGACCUUUUCUGUUUGGCAUGAUAUGCUAAACCUACAUAUAUUGUCUGUAUGAAAGGUACACCACUUGUUUUGUAGUUAAAAGUAGUUCAGUAGUUUAGGGUGUGUUUGGUUCUGUUGUCUCAUGUGAGAAAAAUUGCUUUCUGCUCUGAAAAAACUGCUUUCUGCUGUGAAAAAAAGAGAAAUAAGGGUUCGACACCCCUUAAAUGAUGGAAGAUGGGUAAUUUCUUUGAACUUGGUUCGCUGGCAUCAAUCACAUCAAAUAUUUCUUGGGAUUACUGCUGUGCUUACACUUUCAUGGUUAUGCUUUAAUGAGUAAUUAUUGUGUUCCCUUUUGUUGACGUACUUAUAUGGUGUGAUAUAUAUUCUUACUUUUUUUUGCAUAGGUUCUAGAUGAAGCAGAUAAGAUGCUGGAUUUGGGUUUCGAACCUGAAGUCAGGGCAAUUUUGAGCCAAACAUCAUCUGGAUGGGAUAACGUUUGGCAGCUCCACCUAUCGAUGCUACCAAAGAAAAGGGGACUCUUUGCCAGGUCGUCUUCGUUCCAAGGACACCAGCAGAGACGCGCUCCAGAUCUCGCCCGUACGUCCAUGAACCUGGCGGGCGAGUGAAGCGAAGGCCGGCGUACGGGUCCGGCAGCAGAUGGGGGAGGGAAGGGGAGGUAGACAAGGUGGUGGUGGUGCUUGGAUCGGUCGGUACCUGGGAGGCGCGGACGCUAUCCUCUCGGGAGCCGGUGAAUCUGUGGGAGAAGACGACGGCGAACCUGGCUUGGUCCCGGGGCACGCCGCUCUUGCAGUAGGCGAGGUGGCGGCCGUCGCGGAGCCUGAGCCUGGGCGCUGUUGAAGUCGUGCGUGCGCUGAAUCAGGCGAGGUUGAAGUCGUGUGCAUAAAUGGCGGAGCUGGCGAAGCGGUUGAGGCCAUGGUCGUGGGGGAGGAGGUCGAGGUCGUGGGCAUCCUGUAGCGCGCCGUCGCUGGAGUGGAGGCAGCAGGCGCCAUAGCUUGGGGUGUAGAAGGCAGGCGUCGUAGGAUGGGCUGCAGAAUGGGCCGCACCACCGUUGGGCCGCAUACACCGCUCGAACACAGGCACUGCUAUGGUGUUAUUUGAUUAGUGCCAUACCGGCCAUCCAGAGCGUCGAAACGUGACUUAUAAGCGUUGGUGUGUGUUGUUUGUUACUUAGACGCGUUGGUGUGUGCUAUUUGUUGCUCAGACUAACGUCUCUGGUGCCGUAGUAAGAUGAUUUUUUGGCGCGGGGCUGUACGACCGGAGGCAGAACGGGCCAGAGGCAGAACGGAUCGGAGGCAGACUACUAUUGCUUACUUAAUAAGUAGUAGAGAUAAAACGGUAUGUAGUAUAAUUAAUAUGCCCAGAGGACUUUCUACCGCGUCUUCCAAUUCUCCAUACCAGGACCCAGCAGGCCCUCUCUUGUGUGUUGGCGCAGUAGACGAUGCAGACUUGCAGUAAUAAGCAUUCAUGCUUUUAUUUUAUUUUAUUUUUCCUUUGCUACAGGCUAGAGCGUCAAAGUACAACGGUCUGCGAGCACUAUAUAUAUUGUUAAGUAACCCUUGUUAGGGUUAUAUGGACAAAUACCUGCUUUGCCCAUGAGGGGUCUCACAUCUCUAUAUAAGGAACAUGUACACCCCUUCAUAUGAUAGAGAUAAGAAAUAGGCCAGAGGCCCAACCCUAUAUCCAGUGUCUCGUGUGUUUCCUCUGUCGUGCUUAUGUGAAGGGAGACAGGUUCUCUACAUCUUCUUGCGCCUCUACCGCUGACGGGAGGGAAGGGAGCAGAUCUGGUGAUCCGUGGUAACGUAGUUCUCAACACGUUAUCAGCACGCUCUACCUCGACGUUGCUAUGGAUUCGAUCUGCACCGAAUCUCCAUCAAGCCGGCAGGUCACCCGGCCUUGCCGAACUAUCCUACGCGAUAGCCUUCGAUUGCCUUUCUACGCAGUCACACGGUAUGUCUUUCUAAGUAGAUUGGAUGUACUGUUUAUGGGUGAUCAUCCGGUCGAACAAGUACUGCACGCUCGUGCCCAUGCAUAGACUUUUAUACCCGGUCAAAGCGGUUUUCAGUUGAUGUGCCUAAAAUGCUAAAUUUAGACUUUUAGGGCCCCUUUGGUAGGGCUUAUUUUUCAGCUUCGGCUCUGGCUCAUGCAAAAGUUGUGUCAAACACCUCUUUUUCAAAUGGCUUCACCAGUGAAGUGCUUUUCCAAAAUGAACUAGAGGGCAUGAGCCAAAAAAAGUGGCUCACCCGGCUUCAGCUCACGUCAUUUUUGCACAAUAGCCCUCCCACCAGUCAAAAUUAUUUUUUUUGGUCCUGCCCUCAAUCCCUAGCCACGUACAUGAGAGAUCUAUAAAAAGUAAAGUAUACAAGGGUCUUUCUGAAAAACAACCUAUAAGUCGUUUUGCCAAAUGAUUUUUCAGAAUGGCUUUGGCUCAUCUAAAGAAGUGGCUUCACCUCGUGAAUCAGAGCCAAAGCCGUUUUUGGAGAAGCCAGAGCCCUGCCAAAGGGGCCCUUAUACCGCUUGCUUGCAUGUCGGUAGUCGUGGACGCAUGACAGCUCGGUGGCGCAAGCGAAUCUCGCAGUUGAGUCGGCAGCUUCUCCAACUAUUCUUGCGUAGCCCCCGCAUGGCCGCAUGCAUGGGCACCACGAUGGCCAACAAGCUGGGUCCUUGAUUGCCUCCCUUAUCCAAAUUCAAAAUAUCAUUGCUUGGUGGUUGUAGUUGUCCAUGAAUGUCGGCUGAUUUUUUUUAGAAAAAGUUGCCCAAUCAAAGUGGCAGGUGUGCACUUGUGGUGACAACCCUAAAAAAUGUAGUAUUGAUGCCACUACAUUAAUCUAAGUCCAAUGCUCACUGCAUAAAACCCAUAUCUGUAAUGUGCGUAAGAUUUCCCAAAUAAAUCACCACAAUAGCAUACAUUGGCCACAACUGGAUGAUUGUGGUUGGGGAUUUUAUCUGUAUGCUUUUAGAACAUCUCGACAUUAGGGGGAGGAAUGCCCAUAUAGUGUAAUGCCUCAAUAUUCUAUUAAACGCACAAAAGCCAAACUGAACCUGUCGUUCAGUGUGUACUCCUGUGUAUAUGGAGUUUGCCAGAAAUCGUUGAGGAGUAGCCAUAUUGGUUUGAAUGCUUCUACUUGAUGUAAAUGUGGAUAUACCCGGGAUUAAUAUCAUAUCCACAUUUGACAUAUUGGCAUUUGAUCCAUUCUCGGGGACGCCUGCGAAUAUGAUCCAUCGGCCUUAGUCAAAGCAUAUGUUCUGAUUGCAGAUUCACGUGGUCUGUGAUAACUUUCAUCCGAUUAAUUCACCCUGAUGGUGAUUUACCUCACGAAGAGGUUCAUCUUGAUGAUGAAAUUCCUAGCAAUGCGCGCAAUAUCAUUGUGCUGGGAAUACGGAACAAUGAAUCUUUCGUUUUGAGAAAUAACGGAUAUCAUUAUUAAAUGUGGGAGACAAAUAUGUCGACACCUAUAUUGCCUCUCUAGAUUGCAAAUGGAUCCAAAACAAAGUCCUAGGCAUGAGUGCUUUAAGCUCUCUUAUCGGGUCAUUGAUAAAUGCAAUCGAGGCUGAACCAAUAAUCGCAAAAUGAAAGUCACGAGCUUGAAGUUCGGACAUUUAUGGGCACUAUUGAGAUAAUGUGUGGUGAAUGCGAUGGUUCAAGUGGUCUUGUGAGAGACCCAUCCCACGUAUGUGUUGAAUAAACAUUGUUCCGCUAUGUAAUAUAUCUGGCAAAUGGCAUGAAUUAAAUUAUGCAGUUAAUAGGAUUCUGAAGAUCCGUCAUGAGAUCCUAGGAGGAUCCAUAUCUUUGAAUUAUAAAUAUGCAACAUAUAAAUCUCAUACCGAAUAAUACAUUCCUGACGAAUUAACACUCUUCUAUGUAGAGAGAAUAUCUCCUAGAUGAGAUUAUAGUUCCUUGAUGGAACUUUUCCAGAAGAAAUAAAGUCUGUGUUGAACACCAAAGUUUGAUAAUCCCUAUAAAGGGAUAAAGACCCAUACAGACCCGAAAAGGAAUAAGAUGAGGUACCAAAGGACUUGAAGUUCACCGAAUAAGCACAUGUGCAUUCCACGAGUUUUACUCAUGGUAUUUUCCACUUGAUGUGGAAUUACGGUAUCCUCUAAAGCCUUGAUGGCAGAAACCUAUAAGGUUUAGGUGUUACUGGCAAAAAUAUCCCCAUCAUGCCAGAAUGACAGACUAUAACGAUGUAUCUGAUCGAUGAAAAAUCCCUGAUGGAUUACGAUCUUUGAUGGACUUUUGUUACACCAUCAUAGAUGUUGCAAUGGAUGAACGCCUGGAGCGAUGUGUCAUAUUUAGAAUAUGUACUAUUGCAACUAUAUUAUCCCCUAAGUCCCAUAUAAGGACACGUUACUUGCUUUGCACAACUAUGUAUAAAUUAUGGUGUAAGAUAGAAAAUGAUAGCACCCCAACCUCAUCCAUUCUCGUUAUUCCAGAUGAACAAUGAGAUAUAUAUCUUGAAGAAUAUGCUUGAUUUAUGAGGGAUAACGACUUUGACAGAUGUCAUCGUCAGGGGGAGCGAAUGCUUAUAUUGAUCACAAUCGUGAGACAAUAAAUGUUAUAUUCUAUGCCCUGAAGGCGUGAGCUUGAUGAUCAAUAUGUGAACAUUUAUGGAACUUUCUAUCAAAUAUAUAGAUCCAGUCGAUCGAACCCAUCAGUCAAAGUGACUUAUUUAUAUUGAAACGUGCACUUACCUCGUAUAUCCUAGAAGUGAGUAGAGGUAAAGUUCCUGAAAUAGUCCUGGCAAGGAUAUGCAAUCCGUUUGCUGAAUCUUUAUGUGCAUAUACUUCCAGAAUAAUAUGUUUUGCUUAUUGAUACGGUUUUGCAAGGAUUAUGGGGAGCACAUUUCUAAAGUUAGCCCUUGUAGAAGAUUCGAUAGAAUCUAGAUCCCAGCGGAUCGAAAUCUGUCACGAUGACAGUUGUUGUACUCUUUUUUCCUUGGUGAGUUUUCUUGAAGUUUCUCACAUGAGGUUUUGAUAGUCGCCUAGAGGGGGGGUGAAUAGGGCGAAACUGAAAUUUACAAAUAUAAACACAACUACAAGCCGAGUUAGCGUUAGAAAUAAAAUCGAGUCCGCGAGAGAGGGCGCAAAAACAAAUCGCAAGCAAAUAAAGAGUGUGACACGCGGAUUUGUUUUACCGAGGUUCGGUUCUUGCAAACCUACUCCUCGUUGAGGAGGCCACAAAGGCCGGGUCUCUUUCAACCCUUCCCUCUCUCAAACGGUCCCUCGGACCGAGUGAGCUUCUCUUCUCAAAUCACUGGGAAUCAAACUUCCCGCAAGGGUCACCACACUCUUGGUGCCUCUUGCCUCAAUUACAAGUGAGUGUUUGAUCACAAGAAAGAAUGCGAAAGAAAAGAAGCGAUCCAAGCGCAAGAGCUCAAAUGAACACUACAAAUCACUCUCUCUAGUCACUUAGGCUUUGUAUGGAGUUGGGAGAGGAUUUGAUCUCUUUUGGUGUGCUUUGCAAUGAAUGCUAGCUCUUGUAUAGUGGUUGGAAGCUGGAAAACUUGGAUGCUUUGAAUGUGGGGGUGGUUGGGGUAUUUAUAGCCCUAACCACCAAACUAGCCGUUUGGUGGGGCUGUCUGUUCGAUGGUGCACCGGACAGUCCGGUGCGCCAGCCACGUCACCAAAGCCGUUGGAUUCUGACCGUUGGAGCUUCUGACUUCUGGGCCCGCCUGGAUGUCCGGUGCACAUCGGACAUGUACUGUUCAUUGUCCGGUGUGCCAGUAUGGGCGUUCCUGACAUCUGCGCGCCUCUGGCGCGCAUUGAAUGCGCCUGCAGGUAGCCGUUGGCGCCGAGAUAGCCGUUGCUCCAUGGUUCACCGGACAGUCCGGUGAAUUAUAGCGAAGCGGCCGAAGUGAAUUCCCGAGGCUGGCGAGUUCCGGAGGCGGCUCUUCCUUGGCGCACCGGACACUGUCCGGUGUACACCGGACAGUCCGGUGAAUUUUAGCGGAGUGCCUCUGGAAUUUCCCGAAGGUGGCGAGUUCGAGUUGAAGUCCUCUGGUGCACCGGACACUGUCCGGUGGUGCACCGGACACUGUCCGGUGUACGCCGGACAGUCCGGUGCCCCCAGACCAGAGGUGCCUUCGGUUGCCCUUUUGCUCCUUUGUUGAAUCCAAUACUUUAUCUUUUUAUUGGCUAAGUGUGAACCUUUAGCACCUGUAUAGCUUAUACACUAGAGCAAACUAGUUAGUCCAAUUAUUUGUGUUGGGCAAUUCAACCACCAAAAUUAUUUAGGAACUAGGUGUAAGCCUAAUUCCCUUUCAAUCUCCCCCUUUUUGGUGAUUGAUGCCAACACAAACCAAAGCAAAUAUAGAAGUGCAUAAUUGAACUAGUUUGCAUAAUGUAAGUGCAAAGGUUGCUUGGAAUUGAGCCAAUAUAAAUACUUACAAGAUAUGCAUGGAUCGUUCCUUUCAUUUUUAACAUUUUGGACCACGCUUGCACCACAUGUUUUGUUUUUGCAAACUCUUUUGUAAAUUCUUUUCAAAGUUCUUUUGCAAAUAGUCAACGGUAAAUGAAUAAGAUUUUGCAAAGCAUUUUCAAGAUUUGAAAUUUUCUCCCCCUGACUCCCUCUAAAAGAGAUCCACCUCUUAGUGUUCAAGAGGGUUUUGAUAUAUAAUUUUUGAAAUACUACUUUCUCCCCCUUUUGAACACAAUAGGAUACCAAUUGAUAAAAAUCUUGGAAACACGAAGUUUUUUGAAAUUGGUGGUGGUGCGGUCCUUUUGCUUUGGGCUCAUAUUUUCUCCCCCUUUGGCAUGAAUCGCCAAAAACGGAAUCAUUAGAGCCCUCAAAACACUUUCUUCUCCUUUGGUCAUAAAUAAAUGAGUUAAGAUUAUACCAAAGGCGAAGUCCUUUUGCUCGGCGAAGGAUGAGUUACGGAGUGGAAGCCUUUGUCUUCGCCGAAGAAUCCAAUUCCCUUUCAAUACACCUAUGACUUGGUUUGGAAUAGACUUGAAAACACAUUAGUCAUAGCACAUGAAGGAGACAUGAUCAAAGGUAUAUAAAUGAGCUAUGUGUGCAAUCUAGCAAAAGAAAUUGCGUGAAUCAAGAAUAUUGAGCUCAUGCCUAAGUUUGGUAAAAGAUUGUUCAUCUAGUGGCUUGGUAAAGAUAUCGGCUAAUUGAUCUUUAGUGUUAAUGUAAGAAAUCUCGAUAUCUCCCUUUUGUUGGUGAUCCCUAAGAAAAUGAUACCGAAUGGCUAUGUGUUUAGUGCGGCUAUGCUCGACAGGAUUGUCGGCCAUUUUGAUUGCACUCUCAUUAUCACAUAGCAAAGGGACUUUGGUUAGUUUGUAACCGUAGUCCCGCAGGGUUUGCCUCAUCCAAAGUAGUUGCGCGCAACAAUGGCCUGCGGCAAUGUACUCGGCUUCGGCGGUGGAAAGAGCGACCGAAUUUUGCUUCUUUGAAGCCCAAGACACCAAGGAUCUUCCCAAGAACUGGCAAGUCCCCGAUGUGCUCUUCCUAUUAAUCUUACACCCCGCCCAAUCGGCAUCCGAAUAACCAAUCAAAUCAAAUGUGGAUCCCCGAGGGUACCAAAGCCCAAACUUAGGAGUAUAAGCCAAAUAUCUCAAGAUUCGUUUUACGGCCGUAAGGUGGGAUUCCUUAGGGUCGGAUUGGAAUCUUGCACACAUGCAAACGGAAAGCAUAAUAUCCGGUCGAGAUGCACAUAAAUAUAGCAAAGAACCUAUCAUCGACCGGUAUACCUUUUGAUCCACGGACUUACCUCCCGUGUCGAGGUCGAGAUGCCCAUUAGUUCCCAUGGGUGUCUUGAUGGGUUUAGCAUCCUUCAUCCCAAACUUAGCAAGAAUGUCUUGAGUGUACUUGGUUUGGCUAAUGAAGGUGCCCUCUUGGAGUUGCUUUACUUGAAAUCCUAAGAAGUACUUCAACUCUCCCAUCAUUGACAUCUCGAACUUUUGUGUCAUGAUCCUACUAAACUCUUCACAUGUAGAUUCGUUAGUAGACCCAAAUAUAAUAUCAUCAACAUAAAUUUGGCACACAAACAGAUCAUUUUCAAGUGUUUUGGUAAAGAGCGUAGGAUCGGCCUUUCCGACUUUGAAGCCAUUAGAAAUAAGGAAAUCUCUAAGGCAUUCAUACCAUGCUCUUGGGGCUUGCUUGAGCCCAUAAAGCGCCUUAGAGAGCUUAUAGACAUGGUUAGGGUACUUACUGUCUUCAAAGCCGGGAGGUUGCUCAACAUAGACCUCUUCCUUGAUCGGUCCAUUGAGGAAGGCACUUUUCACGUCCAUUUGAUAAAGCUUAAAGCCAUGGUAAGUAGCAUAGGCCAAUAAUAUGCGAAUUGAUUCAAGCCUAGCUACGGGUGCAUAGGUUUCACCGAAAUCCAAACCUUCGACUUGGGAGUAUCCCUUGGCCACAAGUCGAGCUUUGUUCCUUGUCACCACACCAUGCUCAUCUUGCUUGUUGCGGAAGACCCAUUUGGUUCCUACAACAUUUUGAUUAGGACGUGGAACUAAAUGACAUACCUCAUUCCUAGUGAAGUUGUUGAGCUCCUCUUGCAUCGCCACCACCCAAUCCGAAUCUUGAAGUGCUUCCUCUACCUUGUGUGGCUCAAUAGAGGAAACAAACGAGUAAUGUUCACAAAAAUGUGCAACACGAGAUCUAGUAGUUACCCCCUUAUGAAUAUCGCCGAGGAUGGUGUCCACGGGGUGAUCUCGUUGGAUUGCUUGGUGGACUCUUGGGUGUGGCGGCCUUGGUUCGUCAUCCUCCUUGUCUUGAUCAUUUGCAUCUCCCCCUUGAUCAAUGCCGUCAUCUUGAGGUGGCUCAUUUGCUUGAUCUUCUCCUUUAUCAACUUGAGCCUCAUCCUCAUUUUGAGUCGGUGGAGAUGCUUGCGUGGAGGAGGAUGGUUGAUCUUGUGCAUGUGGAGGCUCUUCGGAUUCCUUAGGACACACAUCCCUGAUGGACAUGUUCCUUAGCGCGAUGCACGGAGCCUCUUCAAUACCUAUCUCAUCAAGAUCAACUUGCUCUACUUGAGAGCCGUUAGUUUCAUCAAACACAACGUCACAAGAAACUUCAACAAGUCCAGAGGACUUGUUAAAGACUCUAUAUGCCCUUGUGUUUGAAUCAUAUCCUAGUAAAAAGCCUUCUACAGUCUUAGGAGCAAAUUUAGAUUUUCUACCUCUUUUAACAAGAAUAAAGCAUUUGCUACCAAAGACUCUAAAAUAUGAAAUGUUGGGCUUUUUACCGGUUAGGAGUUCGUAUGAUGUCUUCUUGAGGAUUCGAUGUAGAUAUAACCGGUUGAUGGCGUAGCAAGCGGUGUUGACCGCCUCGACCCAAAACCGAUCCGAAGUUUUGUACUCAUCAAGCAUGGUUCUUGCCAUGUCCAAUAGAGUUCGAUUCUUCCUCUCCACUACACCAUUUUGUUGUGGUGUGUAGGGAGAAGAGAACUCAUGCUUGAUGCCCUCCUCCUCAAGGAAGCCUUCAAUUUGAGAGUUCUUGAACUCCGUUCCGUUGUCGCUUCUUAUUUUCUUGAUCCUUAAACCGAACUCAUUUUGAGCUCGUCUCAAGAAUCCCUUUAAUGUCUCUUGGGUUUGAGAUUUUUCCUGUAAAAAGAAUACCCAAGUGAAGCGAGAAUAAUCAUCCACAAUAACUAGACAGUACUUACUCCCGCCGAUGCUUAUGUAAGCAAUCGGGCCGAAUAGAUCCAUGUGUAGGAGCUCCAGUGGCCUGUCAGUCGUCAUUAUGUUCUUAUGCGGAUGAUGAGCUCCAACUUGCUUUCCUGCUUGGCAUGCGCUACAAAUCCUGUCUUUCUCAAAUGAACAUUUGUUAAUCCUAAAAUGUGUUCUCCCUUUAGAAGCUUGUGAAGAUUCUUCAUCCCAACAUGUGCUAGUCGGCGGUGCCAGAGCCAGCCCAUGUUAGUCUUAGCAAUUAAACAAGUGUCGAGUUCAGCUCUAUCAAAAUCUACUAAGUAUAGCUGACCCUCUAACACUCCCUUAAAUGCUAUUGAAUCAUCACUUCUUCUAAAGACAGUGACACCAAUAUCAGUAAAAAGACAGUUGUAGCCCAUUUUGCAUAAUUGAGAAACGGAAAGCAAAUUGUAAUCUAAAGAAUCUACAAGAAAAACAUUAGAAAUGGAAUGGUCAGGUGAUAUAGCAAUUUUACCAAGACCUUUGACCAAACCUUGAUUUCCAUCCCCGAAUGUGAUAGCUCGUUGGGGAUCUUGGUUUUUCUCAUAGGAGGAGAACAUUUUCUUCUCCCCUGUCAUGUGGUUAGUGCACCCGCUAUCGAGUAUCCAACUUGAGCCCCCGGAUGCAUAAACCUACAAAACAGUUUUAGUUCUUGACUUUAGGUACCCAAAUGGUUUUGGGUCCUUUGGCAUUAGACACAAGAACUUUGGGUACCCAAACACAAGUCUUGGAUCCCUUGUGCUUGCCCCCAACAUAUUUGGCAACUACUUCGCCAGAUUUGUUAGUUAAAACAUAAGAUGCAUCAAAAGUUUUAAAUGAAAGACUAUGUUCAUUUGAUGCACUAGGAGUUUUCCUUUUAGGCAACUUAGCACGGGUUGGUUGCCUGGAGCUAGAUGUCUCACCCUUAUACAUAAAUGCAUGAUUAGGGCCAGAGUGAGACUUCCUAGAAUGAAUUCUCCUAAUUUUGUUCUCGGGAUAACCGGCAGGGUAUAAAAUGUAACCCUCGUUAUCCUGAGGCAUGGGAGCCUUGCCCUUUACAAAAUUAGACAAUCUUUUAGGAGGGGCAUUAAUUUUGACAUUGUCUCCCUUUUGGAAGCCGAUGCCAUCCUUAAUGCCAGGGCGUCUCCCACUAUAGAGCAUACUUCUAGCAAAUUUAAAUUUUUCAUUUUCUAAGUUAUGCUCGGCAAUUUUAGCAUCUAAUUUUGCUAUAUGAUCAUUUUGUUGCUUAAUUAAAAUCAUGUGAUCAUGUAUAGCAUCAAUGUUAACAUCUCUACAUCUAGUACAAAUAGAAGUGUGCUCAACGGUAGAUGUAGAGAGUUUGCAUGAAUUAAGUUCAACAAUCUUAGCAUGCAAUAUGUCAUUCUUAUCUCUAAGAUCGGAAAUUGUAACAUUGCAAAUAUCAAAAUCUUUAGCGUUAGCAAGCAAUUUUUCAUUUUCAAUCCUAAGGCUAGCAAGAGAAAUGUUCAAUUCUUCAAUCCUAGCAAGCAAAUCAACAUUAUUAUCUCUAGGAUUGGAAGAUGAAACAAUACAAACAUGAGAAUCAACCUUAGCUAAUAAAUUAGCAUUUUCAUUUCUAAGGUUGACAAUUAAAUCAUGGCAUGUGCUUAGCUCAUUAGAUAGUUUUUGACAUUUUUCUACUUCUAUAGCAUAAGCAUUCUUAACCUUAACAUGCUUCUUAUUUUCUUUAAUAAGGAAGUCCUCUUGAGAAUCCAAGAGAUCAUCCUUCUCAUGAAUAGCACUAAUCAAUUCAUUUAAUUUUUCUUUUUGUUGCAUGUUUAGGUUAGCAAAAAGAGUGCGCAAGUUAUCCUCCUCAUUUUUAGCAUCAUCCUCAUCACUAGAGGUUUCAUAUUUGGUGGAGGAUCUUGAUUUUACCUUCUUUUUGCCGUCCUUGGCCAUGAGGCACUUGUGGCCGACGUUGGGGAAGAGGAGUCCCUUGGUGACGGCGAUGUUGGCGGCGUCCUCGUCGUCGGAGGAGUCGCUCGAGCUUUCGUCGGAGUCCCACUCGCGACAAACAUGGGCAUCGCCGCCCUUCUUCUUGUAGUAUCUCUUCUUCUCCUUUCUUCUCCCCUUCUUGUCGUCGCCUCGGUCACUGUCACUAGAUAUAGGACAUUUAGCAAUAAAAUGACCGGGCUUACCACAUUUGUAGCAAACCUUCUUGGAACGGGAUUUGUAAUCCUUCCCCUUCCGUUGCUUGAGGAUUUGGCGGAAACUCUUGAUGACGAGCGCUAUUUCCUCAUUGUCGAGCUUGGAGGCGUCGAUUGGUGUUCUACUUGGCGUAGACUCCUCCUUCUUCUCUUCCGUCGCCUUGAAUGCGACGGGUUGAGCUUCGGACGUGGUGGGUUCGUCAAGCUCGUUGAUCUUCCUUGAGCCUUCGAUCAUGCACUCAAAACUUACAAAAUGCCCGAUUACUUCCUCGGGGGUCAUUAGUGUAUAUCUUGGGUUGCCACGAAUUAAUUGUACUUGAGUAGGGUUAAGGAAAAUAAGAGAUCUUAGAAUAACCUUAACCAUUUCGUGGUCAUCCCAUUUUUUGCUCCCGAGGUUGCGCACUUGGUUCACCAAGGUCUUGAGCCGGUUGUACAUGUGUUGUGGCUCCUCCCCUUUGCGAAGCCGGAAGCGACCGAGCUCCCCCUCGAUCGUUUCCCGCUUGGUGAUCUUUGUGAGCUCAUCUCCCUCGUGCGCGGUUUUGAGUACAUCCCAAACCUCCUUGGCGCUCUUCAACCCUUGUACUUUGUUAUACUCCUCUCUACUUAGAGAAGCGAGGAGUAUUGUUGUUGCUUGAGAGUUGAAGUGCUCGAUUUGGGCCACCUCGUCCUCAUCAUAGUCCUCAUCCCCUAUAGAUGGUACCUGUGCUCCAAACUCAACAACAUUCCAUAUACUUUUGUGGAGUGAGGUUAGAUGAAAUUUCAUUAAAUCACUCCACCUAGCAUAAUCUUCACCGUCAAAGGUUGACGGUUUUCCUAAUGGAACGGAAAGUAAUGGAGUAUGUCUAGAAAUGCGAGAGUAGUGUAAGGGGAUCUUACUAAACUUCUUGCGCUCGUGGCGCUUAGAAGUUACGGAGGGCGCGUCGGAGUCGGAGGUAGAUGGUGAUGAAGUAUCGGUCUCGUAGUAGACCACUUUCCUCAUCUUCUUUUGUUUGUCCCCACUCCGAUGCGGCUUGUGGGAAGAGGACUUCUCCUUCUUCUCUUUGUGGUGUGAAGAAGAUCUCUUCUCCUUCCCUUUGGAGGAGUCCUUCCUCUUCUCCCUUCUCUUGGUGCGGGACUCUUCCGAUGAAGUGCUCCCGUAGCUUGUAGUGGGCCUUUCGCCGGUCUCCAUCUCCUUCUUGGCGUGAUCUCCCGACAUCACUUCGAGCGGUUAGGCUCUAAUGAAGCACCGGGCUCUGAUACCAAUUGAUAGUCGCCUAGAGGGGGGGGGGUGAAUAGGGCGAAACUGAAAUUUACAAAUAUAAACACAACUACAAGCCGAGUUAGCGUUAGAAAUAAAAUCGAGUCCGCGAGAGAGGGCGCAAAAACAAAUCGCAAGCAAAUAAAGAGUGUGACACGCGGAUUUGUUUUACCGAGGUUCGGUUCUUGCAAACCUACUCCUCGUUGAGGAGGCCACAAAGGCCGGGUCUCUUUCAACCCUUCCCUCUCUCAAACGGUCCCUCGGACCGAGUGAGCUUCUCUUCUCAAAUCACUUGGGAAUCAAACUUCCCGCAAGGGUCACCACACUCUUGGUGCCUCUUGCCUCAAUUACAAGUGAGUGUUUGAUCACAAGAAAGAAUGCGAAAGAAAAGAAGCGAUCCAAGCGCAAGAGCUCAAAUGAACACUACAAAUCACUCUCUCUAGUCACUUAGGCUUUGUAUAGAGUUGGGAGAGGAUUUGAUCUCUUUUGGUGUGCUUUGCAAUGAAUGCUAGCUCUUGUAUAGUGGUUGGAAGCUGGAAAACUUGGAUGCUUUGAAUGUGGGGGUGGUUGGGGUAUUUAUAGCCCUAACCACCAAACUAGCCGUUUGGUGGGGCUGUCUGUUCGAUGGUGCACCGGACAGUCCGGUGCGCCAGCCACGUCACCAAAGCCGUUGGAUUCUGACCGUUGGAGCUUCUGACUUCUGGGCCCGCCUGGAUGUCCGGUGCACACCGGACAUGUACUGUUCAUUGUCCGGUGUGCCAGUAUGGGCGUUCCUGACAUCUGCGCGCCUCUGGCGCGCAUUGAAUGCGCCUGCAGGUAGCCGUUGGCGCCGAGAUAGCCGUUGCUCCAUGGUUCACCGGACAGUCCGGUGAAUUAUAGCGGAGCGGCCGAAGUGAAUUCCCGAGGCUGGCGAGUUCCGGAGGCGGCUCUUCCUUGGCGCACCGGACACUGUCCGGUGUACACCGGACAGUCCGGUGAAUUUUAGCGGAGUGCCUCUGGAAUUUCCCGAAGGUGGCGAGUUCGAGUUGAAGUCCUCUGGUGCACCGGACACUGUCCGGUGGUGCACCGGACACUGUCCGGUGUACGCGGGACAGUCCGGUGCCCCCAGACCAGAGGUGCCUUCGGUUGCCCUUUUGCUCCUUUGUUGAAUCCAAUACUUUAUCUUUUUAUUGGCUAAGUGUGAACCUUUAGCACCUGUAUAGCUUAUACACUAGAGCAAACUAGUUAGUCCAAUUAUUUGUGUUGGGCAAUUCAACCACCAAAAUUAUUUAGGAACUAGGUGUAAGCCUAAUUCCCUUUCAGGUUUUUAACGAGGCAACAAAGUGCAAAUGCAAUUUGUAUCACCAUGCACUCUUUCUCCAUAUUUUUCCCACUGGGUUUUUCGGAGUUUUAACGAGACAUGUGUUGGUCAUGGUAUUCGCCCAAGGGGGAGUGUUAAGUAACCCUUGUUAGGGUUAUGUGGGCAAAUACCUGCUUUGCCCCUGAGGGGUCUCACAUCUCUAUAUAAGGAACAUGUACACCCCUUCAUAUGAUAGAGAUAAGAAAGAGGCCAGAGACCCAACCCUAUAUCCAGUGUCUCGUGUGUUUCCUCUGUCGUGCUUAUGGGAAGGGAGACAUGUUCUCUACAUCUUCUUGCGUCUCUACUGUUGAUGGGAGGGAAGGGAGCGGAUCCGGUGAUCCGUGGUAACGUAGUUCUCAACAUAUAUGUGUGCAAAAGAGAGCGACCAUGGCUGGCCACUGGGGAUCUGCUCUCUGUGGCAGUAGAAAGUGACCUAUCCUCUCCUCAGCAUCUUCAAAUGGGGAAGAGAGCCCGCAAUCAUUGUGUGCCAAACUUUUAUUGCAGUCCAUGCUGCUCGGUGUCUUGUCUUCUGAGCAAGCUCACUAGCUGAGCUGAGCUCCGACGGCGCAGAAGAGAGAUGAUACCGGCCGGCAAACGACUUCAGCCCUCCAUGCUUUUUUCUCUAUCGGCAGGCGGCAGCUUUCCCAUUCCACUACAGUACGUCAUAGGUGAUCGUCCGCAUCUACUCAGCGGAGGAGCCGGUCCUCUUCCCACUCAUAGCUAUAGCACUUAUGACUUACGGACCCCUCGAACGUGAUAUAUUUAUGGCCCGUGCACCCCCAACCUAAGACGCACUUAUGAUCUACCGAGACUAUAUCUGAGUGCGCAAACCUCUGACAGGACACAACACGACAAACCACGCCGAGUGCUAGGCUAUGAAGGCCAGGGUCCGACACAGCCCGAAUGAAGGUGGUCAGGGAUUAACGUCAUUAUCCAGACCUCUCGCACGCCUGUCUCUUUGCGCCCAUAUUUGUAGCUCCAAUUAACAGCUUCCACGCUGCAUUGCUGAAUAGUCUGGUUGACGGAGUUAGCUUCUUGUCGGAACACCAGCGCAUUCCGUCGUUUCCAUAAAGGGCAUCUGAGAAUGACAUAUCCUCCAAAAAAUCACUGAACGUUUUUUUUAAGAUGACCAUUUUUUUAAAAAAAUCGAUUUAUGAAUAUAAUACAGACAUAUUAAGAGGACCACCUUCGUUGAUGAAGGACCGUCUUUGUUGAUUGAUGGUUUUUGAAAAUGAACACCUUAGAACGCUCGUCUGCGUAAAUAAUUUUCGAAGACGAACAUUGUUCUGAUGCUCCUGUGACCAAUAAUGGAGACGGUCAUUUGUCUCGGGUAAUGAUUUGGUCGGCCUGCUAAAAAUUACUUUCGCAGUUCACACAGAUCCCCCACCGCGGCCGUCUGCCCCGGGCCACUUCUUCCUCUGCUGCCUGCCCUGCGGCCCCUAUCAUUAUCGUCAUGGAGAGUCAGAACUCAGAAGCAAACAGCACAGCGCUUGCACUCUCCUAACUGCUACAGGGACACUGAACUGAUUUUGAAUCCCUGCUGCCCCUGCCGGCCCGGUUCGUGUUCUUUGUUAUUUCGUCUUUAGUUUGCUCCAUCCUUUUGCCGCUGCUUUCUUUCUUCUUCUUGCCCCCCUCUGAUAGAUUGCAUCGGCUGCUGCUUUGCCUGCUUUAUGGAAUCAGCAGGAUAUGAUCUAGGGUGUGAUAAGAGAAACAUUAAAUAAUGGUCCAAAGAGGGGAAACCCCAUCGAGAUCACAUCUCGUCCCGUCUAUCUCAUCAUCACCACACAUCUUAUCCAUGUUGACAACCAUGAAAUGGAAAAAAAAAGAAUGAAAUAAAAAAACAAAAGUACGUAGUAGUAGCCACUAAUGUAACAGUAACGCUGUCAGGUUCCAAGGACGACUUAUACAGAGGCAUGAUUGAAUAUUGCAGCAGCUAAUAAUUAAUGAUGCGAAAUUCCAUCACCUAAACAAACUCCUACAUGAAAUGACAAUGACAUAUAACUGAGCAGAUCAAUGGAGAGCAGUGCGUGGUAAGCUCGCACACCGUACCUCAGCAGUAGUAGCUAAUCACGCUCAUCACUCCCUCAUUGCUUCGCUUCCUUGCUCGUCCUCGCUCUGCAGCUGCAGCCGCUGGGCCGGCGGCGCGAGGAACCCCAUAAACCCGCUUCCGGCGCCGCCAACCAGAUGACCGAAGCCGACCUGCCCGGACAUCGUCGACGGCUGGUGCUGGUGGAUCGCGACGAGGGGGUCGAGCCAAGCGCGGGCAGACGACGACGGCCAGCCGCCGCCACUGGACUGAAGGGGUUCCCCUUGGGAGAAGAUCAGCUGGCCCUGCAGGUGGUCUAACCCUUGCCGUGGGCCGGGCACGCCGAACAUGUAACUGUCGCCAUUUCCGGCGGCCCCGCGCCCGUCGUCUCCCGCGCCGCUGUUCUCUGGAGCAUGCCACGGCGGCAUUCUCUGGCCGUGCGCCUCCGGCCAGCCUUGGACGCCUGCAACGGAGAUCAUACUACCGUGGUGGUUCGGGGACACAUGGCUGAAGAUCUGCUGCUGCUGCUGCUGCUGGUGGUGGUGGUUAUUGGUAGACUGGAGAGUGAGGCAAAGCUCCUGAGGCUGGUUGCUGCUGGUCGUGCGCGACAGAAGGUCCGGCGGGGAGCCCCUGUACUCGUCCUGGGUGGGGGUAGUGCUCGUUGUCGACGACGAGGGGAACAAAGACUUGACGUUGCCGGAGCCGGAGCCGGAGCCGGAGCCGGAGACGUCAUCGGCACCGACCGAAUGUGGCAUGAAGGAGCCGGCCACACCACCGAUGGCGAACCCGUAGGACGUCGAGGUCACCUGCUCGGCCGGCUCGGUAGUAGUGGCAUCCGCUGCCUCCGCGGCAGGCUGCCCCUCUUCCCGGUCGGCCGAAAGCUCGUCGAUGGCGGCCUUAGCGUUACGGAUGAGCCAGUCGACGGCUUUGCUGGGGCGGUCGUAGCCUAGCCGGUCCUGCACGUCGUAGAACCGGAUGGCCGUGUGCGCGGCGAGGCGGACACGGCGGUCGCGCAGCCCGCGCGCGGUGCACACCUUGCUGUGGCGGUCCUUGCGCCCGGCGGCAGACCGCACGAUGCGGCCGCUCCCGAAUGCGGUCGCCAGGGCGUCCACGGGCGUCGACUCGCCGCUGCUGACGCCAUCACUGCCAGCUCCUGCAGCCCUCGGCUGCUGCUGCUGCUGCUGCUGCCUCCGGCGGUGCUGGAGGUAGCUGAAUCCUUGCUGGUGGUAGAUCUGGAGCUGCUCAUGCGCCUGCGCUCUCUCCUUCUCCUGGAGCAGGUAGUGCAGGGUGCUGGUGGCGGCGGUAGGGUUGCUCCAAGGGUCCAAGCCCUUGGACAACUGGUUCUUGUCCUCCUCCAGCUUGAGCGUACUCACUUCCGCACUCCCUACAGCCGGAAAGAAUGAAGAAAGAACAAGCUACUAGCCAGGAAUCAAAAGAGAAAAAACUAAACUAUUCAAUCACCUAGUUAAUUGGAGAGACCGAACUGUUUCGACCGCAUGCGAUUCGCUAGCUCCCCCGUACUCCAAAGCUCUCACUCGGCUGCCCAUGUCGAGGAAAAAGAUUUAAUGGCCAUAUAUGGUGGGAAGGGAAGGGAGUUGGGAAACCAACCCCACACCGUCCACAAGCACAAGGACUCCGUCCGCAGGAGGCAGGGGCAGGCAGAUAGAACCACACCAAGCUGCUCCUGCGCGCGCUGGUGGCCUGGGUGCAUGCAGCUGGCCGGCCUCUCUUUAGUGAAAGAGACAAGCAAAAGAGGGCGGCAGUGCAGAUCUUAUCUUGGCAAUCUCUCUGCGUGCAGCUAGGUAAUCUUACACUGGCCGGGGGAGGAGGAGGGAGGAAAAGAAGAUCUCGGAGCAACAAAAAAAAAAGAGAAGAAAGAAAAAGAUUAGGACCUCUCUACCAAAAGGUGAGAUAAUUAUUAUUCUACACUUCUACUAGUACUCCUUCGAUCUUACACCUUGACAAGGACAUGAGCUACUACUCCUAGUACCAUAUAUGAGCUGAGGAGAAGAUCAUGUGUCCCUUCAGUUUUCUGGUCCUUUUGGUUUUAAUUUUUUUGUGUGGGUGAAGUGUAGAGAGAGAGAGGCGGCCGGCUAUAGCCUGCUGUAGAUAGAUUGAUAGGAUGAUGCAGGGUCGCAGGGAGAGGGGAUGACGAAGAGAGCCAGAGAGGGUUGGCGCAGGCUCAGAGACAGGAGUCGUCAGGGUGUAGGGCAGUCGGCAGAAACUAAAAUUUGGUCACCUGAUUUCAGUUCAUUACUAGGUGAAUGCCCGUGCGUUGCAACGGAAAUAUAUGAUACUAUUAUAACUUAUGUACAAAUGAGUGUUAUAGUGUUAUAGGUGAGUGUCCGUGCAUUACAACGGAAACAUAUAAUACCACGAUAACUUAACUACAAAUAUGUGUUAUCCUGUUAUGAGAAAAUGUUUUGUAAUCCAUUUGCCAUCCUAGCCAUACAUAAAGUGUGCUCGGGGACCUUCUUGACCUUGUUCACUGAAGUUUCAUGUUGAUACGAUUAAAACUUGCUAAAAGAUUUAAUUAGAAAAAUACAAUGUUCACCACUUCUUUCUGGACAUGUGAUCCGUGAGGAUCCUCUGAUUGUCAUAGUUCCACAUGAUGCUAAGCAGUGUCUAGAAACAUGCGACGUGCUUUGUGCGCCGUGCUAAAUUUCAAUACUCUUCAACACUUCUCUCAGCUUCUCAAAGAUUACAAGGAAGUUCUAUAAUUGAUGCCUCUAUAGAAGAUAUCUCUUGGAGAUGUAUGAUAUGCACAUACAAAUUGCAAUACUAAAACACUACUACUUUGCUUACUGCGUUAUAUAAGUGAAAACAUGUCCCUCCUUUCCAAGUCCAUGUUUUAGAUGGUCAACCAUCUCAUCAGGUUUCAAGGGGUGCAUAUCCUGCAUUGCAAGCACAUAAGCCAUAAAAAAUAUCCAUGUUCCAAAGGAAAAAUAUGUAUGGCAAGCUGCUUGCGAGAGCCAUAGACAGGUGCAAUCAAAUGUUCGCCUAGCAAUCAAGUAAGCCAUAUUGAUAAUACAAUUUUUAUCUUCUGGUCUGGUCCAUUCCACUAUAACAUACAUUUGUAGUUGAUGAUAGUGAACGAUGCCAAAAAAAAUAACAAUGGCUUAAUAGUAGCUAAGAUAAAAAAUGAUAGUAGCCCACUUCAAAUAAUGUGAUGUUGCACUAUACAGCUCCGAACCAGUAGAUUCAAUUAGCAAUUCCAAUUUCUUCUCGGAGAGAUGGCUCCUCAGCCCACCCAUGAAGCUGUUGUAAGCGAGCUGGUUGAGGCAGUCGGCCACGAACGAGUGGCUGCUGCAGGUGAAGAGGUUGUAGCACUUGUGCUAGAAGCGCCCCCCCUCCCGACCGUAGUGUGUCGUCCCACAAGAUCAUCGCCCUAGCCUCCGAGUGCUCGUGAGACCUCAAGCACAGUUAGUAGGGGAGCAGCACUGGGUUGUCACAAGCCACACGGAAAAAGACAAUUUAUUAGUUGUUCAAGCUCAGAAAUUCUGAAGAGAAGUGCUCCUACAGACAAAAGAAUAGAACAUGGGCAUUUAUUAAUAUUUUAAUUGAUUGUAGACAUACCCUGCUUGAAAAAAAUACCAUAUCUCUAGCCUAUCAUAAAAACUAACAAUAAAAUGAACAAAUCUCUUAAUUGCUCUGUAAAACACUUAAUGUCAAUUAGCUAAUAUGUAAGCUGACCAGCCAUUCAUUUUGAUUUAACUAUACAAUUCAACCAAUUAAUGUGAAAAUUAAAAUGAAAAUGGUAUGUACCGUUGAUUCUUUAUUAUUGUGCUUGGCAAGAUAAAGACCCAAAGCUCUUUCUCCGUAAAGAAUCUUAGCUCCAAUUCCAUGCCUAUUUACAGAUCCAACAGACUCCUUGUCAACAACCACAAGUCCACAACAUCUAUUUUAUCUUUUCCAUUUCGUGUCUUUGGAAUAUAUUAGGCUAUUGCUUCUUUCUAUCCUCAGCAGCAUGUCCUUUAUUUUGAUCUUACACUUGGUAGGGCUCCCCGUCUCCUGCGAGUGUGAGUACUUCACCUGUGACGCAACAUCAAAAUAUCAGUCAGAAAGCGAAGCUAAGCACGGCAGUAGACGGAGGAGGAGGAGAUAGGUGGGAUGAACAAGACAACCCUGCAAAAAUCCUAACUGCAAGUAACUGGACAAAAAUGUACAAUAGUUGAUGCACUCAUAAAAAAGUCUUAAUUGUCAAAUAGAAUAGUUGUACUACCAUGUACUUAGAAUAAAUCCAUCCCUGAUAAGCAUGAGAAGGAUAUCCCGGCAACUAUAGCUUGAUUUCUAUGAGACAAUAUUGAUUUUUUUCCUCUUGUUUGCGUUUAAGAAUAACAAAGCCCCUCUUCAAAGCUUUUUAUGAAAGGAAUCCAUUAACAAAAAAACAUACAAAAAUAUGAAAAAUACCAAGACAUUGUCUAAUGGAAGCGAAAUAUAUCUCUUGGUGGCUCAAAGUAGCAAUACCAUGGUUUUUCAUCAGUAAGUAGUGGUAAAGUAUCACAAACACACAUUCACAAACUCUAUGAACUACUAAUUGCUACUUCCUCGCCAGCGACCAUAGCAGUCCAAACACUUAAUCACACGGAGUCCCUCAGGACACAGGUCAAAGAUGAAGAGGAACGACCAAUUUUACCUCUCCUUUGGGAGAAUAGAGGCAGAUCGCCCCAUCUCUGGAUCAGGAACUCGUACUGGUUCUGGAUGACAUCCUCCUAUAUUUCUGUUGAAUUAGCUUUUUUCCCUAUUAUAGUUUCUAUUCAACAUCCCCAAUUUGAUAGCACUGAAUUUGGCACAAGAGAUGAAUCACCCCCCGCAAAGUCGAUGCUCGCUGGCUGAAAUUGAGGGAAGGAAGUUGUGGUUGUUUCAGCUAUUCAGGAUCCCACGAGACCCUUGUGUCUCGCAUACGCAACAAUGGAGACAAACACAAAGGCAAAAAAAGCCCUCAUACAAGAAUAGUCAAUUAAAUUUGGAUAGUCAAUUAAAUUUGGGGUCUGGUUUUACACGUCAUUGACAGACAGGUGGUAUAAAUGAAAAGUGCACCUCAAAUGCUGGUACACAUGAAAAUAUACCUAUAAUAAACUGGUUAUAUUUUUUUUACAACGAGGAAUGGGGUUUAGACAUACAAUACCAUAGGAUUGGUCGUUGAUGGACACCUGCAUGGACUGGCUAGCAUAGUAGAUGGUCAACUGUGGUCACUGCCCAGACUUAGAAUCGCUCAUUCGAGUUGAUGAUCAUGCUGCAUUGAAACAUUUAGCAGUGGGGUUUAGACAUACAAUAAUCAUCGUCAUCAUCCAAUAAUUGUUCACUUCCCUAUUAUAGUUUUUUUGAUGGGUAGCAGUGGGGUUUAGACAUACAAUACCAUAGGAUUGGUCGUUGACGGACACCUGCAUGAACUGGCUAGGAGAGUAGAUGGUCAACUACGGUCACUGUCCAGACUUAGAAUCGCUCAUUCGAGUUGAUGGUCAUGCUGCAUUGAAACAUUUAGAGGUCAGCACGCAGAGACUAUCUAAUUGCCUGGCUCAUCAGAGACAGAGAAAAGAUCAUUCCAACAAUGUAAGGUCCUAGCAAGUAGGAAAAAAAUCCACCCAGAAUCAACCUGAAAAGUGCCUUUUGAAUCUAAUUAUCCACUUGCCACCAUUCUGAUUUGCAGGAUCCUGGCCAAUUGAAAACCGUUAGCAAUAGGAACAGACAUACUACACAUAGACAGAGAGAUGAUAGAGAAUACAGACUCUAAAUAUGCAUCAGGGUAACUGCCACCAAAGAGGCUACAGAGAUUUUAUUCACUGCAUAUGGAGGCUGCAAAGAUUCUUGGUGGACCAACACAUGGAGCCAAGGUGUAUUCUCCAGCCAAGGAAAACAAGCACAUUUGGAAGUCCAAAAUCCAUCUUAAGGUCAAGAUUUUCAUGUGGCUAACUUUACAUAAUGCUAUUUUGACCAAAAAACAACUUGAUGAAAAGGGAGUCCUUGUGGAGCAUUUUUCAUAACUAUUCUGUAAUUCCUUUUUUGGUAACUGGGUGCAUUUGAAAAGAAAGGGUAAUAGUACUGGAUGAGCUAAAAUCUAACAUACUUAUUAAUAUUUGUAUACAGACAUUCUAACUUUGGUAUGUUAAGUUAAUAAUUGUAGAAUGUUAAAAUUUAGUAUCCCUCGUUUUUAUUUGCACACGAUUUCAUAGUCUUAACAAUUGUGGUUUAUCUAAGGCAAAAUAUUGCUUUUCUAUUGUGUGGGUUUUUAUCUUAUUGACAGCCACUGUUGUUCUGUGCCUCCUUGAUGGAUUUGAUUGAUAUUAUUUAGUAUUAUGUGUCACAGUUUAGCAUGCAAGUUGUGGUGUCUACUUGAAUUAGCAAUGUAGUUAACUUUUGGAAAACAUUACAAUAUGAACACAAUAGUAUUAAGUAUUAAAAGGAAAAAUGGAAGCAUGAAGGCACUAACCAAAUCUUUUGUUGAACAAUAUAGAGCUGCAAAGAUGAGUGUAGGAAUUGAGGCGAACACGACUCUGAAUUUCCCUGGGUAGUCAAAAUGAGACAUGAAUACAUGAUUAGUAUAGAAAACAUAAGUAUUCACAUUCUAAAUUUUCAUAGCAAUGCCAAACUAAGAUGACACAACUGCUAUACAAAGAUGACACUUUAUUUAUUUGACUAUAUUACAUUUAAAAAGUACUCCUAUAUCAGAGCUACAUUAAGACGCGCAUAACUAAAAUCCGCCUACAAGCUAUGUUAUCAACACAAAGCCAAGUUUAUAUUAUAUGCAGAAUAAUCUAAAUGGCAAGGAUGAAUUAGCAGAAUUAUUUAGGAAAAAAGUGGUUGGUCAUAUAUAACAUCACAAGGCCACCCAAACCACAGGGUCACUUUUGGGUCAAACAAUUAGCAAAGACCGAAGAGAGUGGGAGUCAUAUCAUGAAACAAAGAAAAAUGGUGAAAUGGUUUGGUGCAAAAUAUAAGUAUCAUAGGACUGAAACAUACUGCAUUAGCUUUAAAUUUCUACCAUGAUAUACCAUUUGGAGUACACUUGAACAUAGCAAAUCCAAUAAUAUAAUCAUGGGGCUACUGGUAACUGCUGAAAUUAGGAAUAAUCACAAUGGGAGGUUAUACGCCAAACACACAAAAAAAUCCAUUCAGGAGCACACAGAGUUAAGUGUGAGACAGAUACACAAACCUCUGGACCACCGCCAAUAUCCAUUUUCCCAACUUUGCUCCCACAUGGCAUCACACGCUUGACACUAAAAAACAGGAAGAUUAUAAACAUCAAACAAUUCUUACUAAUAAAUAUAUAACAUUGACCCUGAAAAAUAGGAAAUAUAUAACAUUAGGAGAAAAACUUACUCAUUUGAGUUGGAGUCAAAGCAACGAUCAGCUGAUAAAAAGUACCUUUGAUCCUAAGUAGAUUCUCGUACACAAUGUGAAUCACCGAUAGAUGCUACAGUCACAACCCACUUGUCUAUUAUCACAAAUGUCAAAGUUGUACCAGAAGUUUCAGCUGAAACAGUGAAGAAAACGUCUCAGAAAUAUUGAAACAUGAAAAGGUAGUUAACAAAGGAAACUCUGACUAUAAACAAAGCUCUCAUAUGUUCUGCUCCCACAGGUAAACGUGUGUCUGCCUAAGAAAUAUAUGCAUGUUUAAAGACGAAGUAAUUCUAUGAAACAUGUCGUCGAAAUUGUCAAACAUACUUACCCAUAGCCUAGAAAUCUUUAUCGGUCUUGACGAACGCUGCAACAAGCGCACGUGGGAGCACGACAAGCCACUCCACCCUGCAGAAACAUGUUGGAAUGGCACGCAAGACAUUGUUCAACAUAUUCUCCCUUGCGUAUAUGGCAGCUAUAAAUCAACAAAGCACAAUGGGAACUGUAAGAUGGCUAUCAGAAGAAAAACGAAUCAGCCAUCAACGGUAUACCAUCAUCAAGCUACCGCCAAAACACAGCAUGAGAUGAAAUUUGAUAUGUUUUUUUCAUAACGCCAUAUAGUUAAGAUGUGAUGCUUAGGAUCAAAGGUAAAAAUUGUUUUUUCAGUCGUCAUGCUCCACCAUGCAUGCACUGGCCUAUCGCAUACAAAACAACGCAACAACUAUUUCUAUUCUCUUAAGAACAAAGAGGCGAAAAGCCGAACAAGAUCUAUACUACCUACAAUCUGCUGGACAAAGGGCAAUGUGGUUACCGUGAAGACGGAGAAGGAGGUGGAUGGGUCCCCGGGAAUGUGUUGGCAUGCGUCGACGAGGAGCAGCUCACUGUAAGGUCAAGGCAUUGUAAUGAGAUUAUCCCUAUUGAACGAGCAUCCAAGCAUGUGCAAAAUGAAUUUUAUGAUAUACACUGUGAAACUAAAAAGUAAAAUGCAAGUGUAUGAAAACAAAACGUAUAAUCAACAAGAACAAAGGACCUGAACUCAUACAGCCUGUACACUACAACAUCCAGCGCUUACAUAGUUCCGAUCUAAUAGUUGAGCAAUCACUACCCACUAUGAGGAGGAGCUCUGAAUGAGCCAUGUGAGCAUUUGCUCGAAUAGGUGGUGAGCAAGAGGCGAAACACACCAGAUUGGCGAGCGCAAGGUGGACGAGGUGUAGCUGUAGUAUUCAAAAUUCAAGAAAAAUAAUUAACACGAAUAAAGAACAAGUGCAGUAAUCUUGUAUUUAAUUAUAUGCACACUUGAAUUACUAUAGUACAAUACCCGUGCAUUGGGACGGCAUACAAUUUAUUUGAUAAGGGACUCAGUUCAUAGCAACGACAUACAAUUUAUUUGAUGAGUGACUCAGGCAAUAGGGAUUCACAAACAGGAACAGACGGUGUAGAGUUCGCAUAAAGACUUAAUACUCUGAUUUUCGAACACUUUUAAGAGCUAUCCGUCAUAAUAUCAUUUGGGGCAGCAGCUGCACCCACCAUUAUGUUACAUGGAGAACCAAGUAAAGAAUAUAAGAGCUUACCAGGUAAGUAGUAGGAAAAGCAACACAAAUUAAACGCAACCACAAAAUCUUAGCUUGUUUCUUCAUUAUAAGAAAACUAAGUCAUUCCAUUAUGUUAGAUUGUUGGAUCAGAAACAAGCAUCUAAAUUUGGUAUACCGACAGGCGACAGCCCCUUAGCGCAUAGUGGGUUGAGGCAUUGCAUCAAACGCUUCAAGGGCAAACAAGCAUAAUGGAAAGCCAGACAGCACCGGAACGAUCAGGACACGAGGAUCUUACCAGAGACUACGACGCAGCGGCAGCGGCACCCUCCUCGGCGACGGCUGCCGGCUUCACUCGGUUUCCAGCGGCAUCGGGCACCCUAGAAUUUCGAGGAGCUGGCUCCCUAGAAAAUGUGACAGAUGUACGCUGCAAAAAAUGGAACAACAAAAGGAGAGAAUGCCAGGCUGAAAUGCAACAUUAUGACAGUCAUGUAUGUUGUACCAUAAAGCGUUCCACUGGAAAUGCCUUCUUGGCAGGGCAGAUUUAUUCUGAUUAUAUGUUUACUGGAAUUUUGACAAGAUCUUCUCAGGCGAGACAUCAGCUACGGCUACCUGAAUACUUGUUGUAUGUUGCAUGGGAGGACUCUGAACAUCAUGAACUCAUGGAGGAAGCUCGGACUACCUGCUACGGGGAAUGUUUUGGAAUGCUCCGUCUGUCGGGAUCGCGCCACAAAGGUCGUUGUUGGAGAAAUCUCUGCAGAAGCACAAAAGAAGAAGAAUGUUAAGACAUGGCUGAACUGGGUUCGCCGCAACUGCUACAGUCACCGUAGAGAGCAAAAUGCAGCUGCACAGCUCAUGUAGAUAGUACUCACACAAUUCCAAGAUUGGGCAGCCCGGCAAGCUCCCUUGGGAUCGGCCCCUUCAGGCGAUUGUGAUCCAAACGCCUGCCGACAGAGUUGAAGAAACGUUCACGCAAGAACAGAACCAAUGGCAACUGACGAAACUAACCAUUGUAUUCCCGGACUCACAGGAACUUCAAGGACUUGGCGUUCCCGAGGGCUGCGGGUAUAGCUCCUGAGAUGCUGUUUUGGACAGGUCCAAGCUGAUCAGGUUCGCCAGGCUACCGAACUCUGAUGGGAUUGGUCCACUGAUGCUGUUCCCGAAAAUUUCACUAUUAUUCAGAAUUUCAGGGGUUAGUGAUACUGAUAUCUCGUUCACUGACAUGUACAGUACAGUGGAUAGGAAAAAUUUUCAGGCCCGAAGCACAGCAGAAGGAUCAGAAGAGCAAACAUGUAUUGCAGCUGAUCCAGUUGUCCCAGCUCGGGUGCCAGAGGACUCAACUGGUUCAGUCUCCCGAGAUCCCUGUCGACAAAGAUGCAGUUUAGAGCAAACAAAUCGAGUAGUAGUAGUUUUGCAAAAUGCUUGUAUACAGCAGAUACAAUCAUAACAGAAGAAAGGAAUGCAAUUCUAAUUAUGAUGUUUUCUUCAAAUUAAGAUCUCAAACAAAUACAAUCCUAACUACUCUGUAAAUUUUGAAUAUCAGUAAAUUCAAAAUGUAUACGUAUGCGGUUGCAAAAAAUAACACCAACUGAAUUAUGUAGAAAGUGUUUUUUUAAAGAUAGCGUUGAUUUUAUAACCGUUGAUAUGGUAAUGUUAUAAAUCUAUGCUCAAAAUCUUCUGUGAAGCAUUUCCUCCUUCGCCAUCACCUAAAAGUAAGAAUAGAAACAAAGUAGAGAGUUUUCACUAAGUAGAACCAAGGUACACCCUGUUGGAAAUAAUCAUGUCCAGGUGCAUGUUAGUGUCUAGGUUCCUAAUAUUUACUUUAGCUAAAUUUCAGCAUGGAGUAAUAGGUAGUAAUAGGCUGAUUAGUUGGGUAAUAUUCUGCAUUUAUUAGGGGUCAUCACAGCCUGAUUUGUAGCUCACAUUAGCUAUAUUUAUUAAUAGAAGAGAAAACCAGAAAAUGUUAAGUCAUCCUAGCCACCAAAACACUUGUGCUCUUGUGUGAUACUCUGUUCCUGUGUCCUGUUGGAGGCUUUAGGCCUGUCACACCUUAAAUAUUAAGCCUUAUGAUGCUUUCUUUAUCUUUGAUCUCCCUUAAGGAGCUCUUCGAUAGAGCCUCUGUACUUUGUAAUCAACUCCUUGACAGAAAGAUGUACAUUGGUAAGUUAAACGUACUUAAAAGGCAGAGUAAAUCUCGUGACUUGUACAAAUCCCCAAACUGAAGCAGUCAUGCUGGCCCUUUACUGUUGAAGGGUUGGUCAUCAAUCACUUCUGGUUGGACCAACUUAGGUUGGGAUUUCUAAAGGUGUCUUUCGAAAACCAUGGCCAUACAUCCUGGGUUAUAUGGGGCACAAGCUACGAAACAAUCUUUUUCCCUUUUGCUGUUAAGACAACACACACGUAGUUUUCUAAAAUAUAUAGGCAGACAACGGAACUUACUUUCUUUGAUCAAGCAGCUGCCGUGUUUCAUCCAAACUCUGCCUUUGUCCCUCAACCGUCUGUUGGUAACAAAUACAGCGAUUACGAUGAGUACUGAAACUUCAAGCAUCAAUAACUGGUUCUUACAUUUCCAAGAGUGGACAUCGCCAGGUGGGUGUUUUCGUUUACCUAUCCCACCCAGAUCUGGCAGGAGUAGCGAGGUUUGGGAGGAGGACAUACCGGGAUCGAGGCGUAGACGUGGCGCUCCGGCGGUGACCAGGGCACCAAGGGCGGGGGCAGACGAAGGCGCAACAACCGGAUGCGGAGGAAGAACGGAGACACGAGAGAGAUGGACAAAUGAGUGCGCGACGAUGCGGAUGAGGCGGGGAUGCUGCUCAGCCAGAUCGAGAACCCCGUCCGGCCGUGCCUAUCGUGGGUGGAUCUUGCCUUCCUCGGAUUCGAUUCCGUCGUCGGCUCGUCGUCGUCUUUGUGCUCACCGGCCAAGAUGCGCGUUUCGACGCCGGCCCAACCAUCCCGCCGGCCUACGCCGCCGUGGGCUUCUCAGCGUUGAUGAGCAUAGGAGGCAGGGGAGGCGAUUACGGCGGGUCUGGUGAGGCGUGGGGACGGAGGACUCCGAUGCCUUAGGGAGGUCAUGGCGAGGGGGAGGGUGUGCCCUGCGGCGGAGGUGGAGGCGAUGGGAAGCCAUGGUGGCGCGGUCGUGCGGGGGAAGGUUAGGGAUCGGGUGCGGUCGUGCGGUGGAGGGGGAUGGAGCGUGGGAGACGCAGACGCACGAUAAGACGCACGAUAGGAUACGGACGGUCCAGAUCGAUGGAUGGCAGAACGGCAGAACGGCAGAACGAGAGGAGGCAGACUACCUUUACUGUCUUAAUAGGUAGUAGAGAUU